rnacentral:lncRNA from 1 species
UCUGAAACAUAGUUGUCCUUAUGUCAGUUAUAAGUCCAGGAAGUGUUUUUUCUUGCUUCAAAGUCACAAAUAGGCCUACUGUUGGCCACAUGUUUCUAAGGGUCACAAAAGAGUUCCCAUGUAGAUCUUUCUCUUUUCUUUCCUACCUAGGCACAACUGGAGUGCUCUCUGCUACAACAGUCUCCCCUGGGAGCUCCAACUCAGAGGCCACAACUUCUAUAGGAGAAAGUGGAAAAACAGGAGCUGAAAUAAUCACAGGUACUACUGAGGGCAUCUCUGGCAGAACUCUGGAGGCUAAAAGUGCCCCCACAGAGGCCACAACUUUCCCAGGAGGAAGUGGAACCACCCAAGCAGGACCAACCGGAGUUACCACUGGAGAAUUGUCUGGAAUGACCUUUAUAUCUGGAAGUCCUAACACAGGUAGCUUAACAAGAAAUGCCUCUUAUUUUAAUGUCAGAUGCCAUGAUUUUUUAAAGCCUUCUCUGAU